rnacentral:lncRNA from 1 species
GCCAAGGUCAGUGAGGACAUGGUGAGCCCUCAGUGUUACAGAGCUGUUUUCUCAGGCCUGCAGAUACUGUUCCUGCUUUAGGUAAACCAAAUUGUUUUAAAUUCCAGUUUCAGUAGAUGUGAUAAUGGCCACCUAUGAGGAGAAAGCUACAGUUGUGUAUGGAUCAACGUCCAGGAAGGUUCUUUGUUUAUGUUAUGGGAGCUGCAGUUCGUUUAGUAGCCCUUCCAAUAGAGAAGAACCUGCAAAGUGCUUUCCAGGCGUGGAGUUACUCCUGUGGUGACAGGGGAGUGGUCAGAGAAAGCAGGCAACGCUGACUCGUGCAGGUAAAGCAGGCAAGUUGUGUGGCACUGAGUUGGAUGCCUGGGAGAGAUGCAGUGGCAGAGCGCCCAUCGUUGGAAGCACAGUUUGGCAGUUUCCUGUGUUGCCCAAGGAACUGGGACUGCCCGGGCAGAGAGCUCAAGGUGAGAAGUGUGAGCUGGCUGUGGGUGGAGGCCAGCGCAGGGCAGGAAGGGGGUGAGCUCGAGGAGGAGCAAAGCUCGGUGUUUGCUCAGUCGUGCCUUUGUUCCAAGCAGGGAUGGGAUCUGAGGUUCCUCAGUCUCACUGUUCUUCUGCAGUCACCAGUAGCUGAGAAAUUUUCUGGUGAGCUGUGCCUUUUGUUCCCAUC